rnacentral:rRNA from 1 species
GUGUCAGCCGCCGCGGUAAUACGUAGGGUGCGAGCGUUAAUCGGAAUUACUGGGCGUAAAGCGUGCGCAGGCGGUUGUGCAAGUCUGAUGUGAAAGCCCCGGGCUUAACCUGGGAACGGCAUUGGAGACUGCACGACUAGAGUACGUCAGAGGGGGGUAGAAUUCCACGUGUAGCAGUGAAAUGCGUAGAGAUGUGGAGGAAUACCGAUGGCGAAGGCAGCCCCCUGGGA